ACGGGGCCCGCACAAGCGGGGAGCAUGUGGUUUAAUUCGAUGAUACGCGAGGAACCUUACCUGGGCUUGAACGUAUGGUGCAUUAGGGUGAAAGCCCUAUUUCUAGCAAUAGACUUCAUACGAGGUGCUGCAUGGCUGUCGUCAGCUCGUGCCGUGAGGUGUUAGGUUAAGUCCUGCAACGAGCGCAACCCCUGUUUCCAGUUGCCAUCAAGUAAAGUUGGGGACUCUGGAGAGACUGCCUGCGCAAGCAGAGAGGAAGGUGGGGAUGACGUCAAGUCAGCACGGCCCUUACGUCCAGGGCUACACACGUGCUACAAUGGCCGGUACAGAGGGCAGCGACCUGGUGACAGGUAGCGAAUCUCCAAAGCCGGUCUCAGUUCGGAUCGGAGUCUGCAACUCGACUCCGUGAAGUUGGAAUCGCUAGUAAUCGCGGAUCAGCACGCCGCGGUGAAUACGUUCCCGGGCCUU
rnacentral:rRNA from 1 species